GAUAAAAAUGGACUUAAAAAACACUCAAUUAAUCCAAGAAAAGGCAAAAGGAGAAACAAAGAACAGAGGGGAAAAAAAAAAGAAAAAAAUUUUAAACAAAUACCACAAUGGCAUGACUUAAUAAUACCAAUAUUGUAUUAAAUCUUAAUUGAUUUCACACUCUGAUAAAAGACAGAGAUUGGCAAACUAGAUUUAAAACAAACAAACAAAAAAUACACAAGACCUAUGUGCUGUUUUCAAGAGAUUAACGGUAAAUAAAAACACACUGAUAGAAGACUUCCCCUGCUGCUCAGGAAGGAUUAACCACUCGGAUAAGUGACCUCUAGUGGUGACAAGCACAGGGGUGAAGCAGCCACUUUCGAAUAUCACAGGCAGCUCAGGAAUGGCACUCCCAGAGAAGGCAAACAAACUCUGACUACCUGGAGGAGAUUAGAGGAUGCAACCCAGAGAGGGAAACCCAAAUAAGGGCCAGACGUCUCACUCAGUUGAGGAAACAAAGCUCAAAGUUCAGGGAGGUCACAGCGGCUGCCACUUGCAGAACAAAAUACUACAGAAGAGAGGUGUGCACAGCAGCCUGCAGAUAGGACCGAGUCUUGGACUGAACACUGAAUUGAACACAGUGCGAAACUCCGUGAACCUGGAGAGGGAGCCACCAGAAAACCCGCAGGUCAAGCAAUGCCAGGACCUCACAGAGGACUGGGAAUAGUCUGCAUUCCCACUGGCCAAGGUGGAGAGAUCUCCUAAUCCAAAGGGCGUUGUCUAGAGCCCACAAAAAGGCACUCUUAGUGGGAAUAAAUUCUCACUGGACUCAGGACUGCUACGUACGGGUCCUGACAAACCUUAAAAACAAGUUUUUGAAAUUGAUCAUACAAAUCCCACAUAACAUAACUCCAUGCCAGAAUGAAGUUCAACACACUAAAAGAAAUACAACAAAAUUGAGUAAUAAACUACAAAAAUCACGAUGCCUAGGAUACCAUACAAAGUAACUGAGCUGGAAAUUCUGAUCCAUAAUUAGUA